rnacentral:rRNA from 1 species
GACGAACGCUGGCGGCGUGCUUAACACAUGCAAGUCGAACGGAAAGGCCCUGCUUUUGUGGGGUGCUCGAGUGGCGAACGGGUGAGUAACACGUGAGUAACCUGCCCUUGACUUUGGGAUAACUUCAGGAAACUGGGGCUAAUACCGGAUAGGAGCUCCUGCUGCAUGGUGGGGGUUGGAAAGUUUCGGCGGUUGGGGAUGGACUCGCGGCUUAUCAGCUUGUUGGUGGGGUAGUGGCUUACCAAGGCUUUGACGGGUAGCCGGCCUGAGAGGGUGACCGGCCACAUUGGGACUGAGAUACGGCCCAGACUCCUACGGGAGGCAGCAGUGGGGAAUAUUGCACAAUGGGCGGAAGCCUGAUGCAGCAACGCCGCGUGCGGGAUGAAGGCCUUCGGGUUGUAAACCGCUUCCGCCUGUGACGAAGCGUGAGUGACGGUAAUGGGUAAAGAAGCACCGGCUAACUACGUG